GCCGGUAAGGUGAUAUGAACCGUUAUAACCGGCGAUUUCCGAAUGGGGAAACCCAGUGUGAUUCGUCACACUAUCAUUAACUGAAUCCAUAGGUUAAUGAGGCGAACCGGGGGAACUGAAACAUCUAAGUACCCCGAGGAAAAGAAAUCAACCGAGAUUCCCCCAGUAGCGGCGAGCGAACGGGGAGGAGCCCAGAGCCUGAAUCAGCAUGUGUGUUAGUGGAAGCGUCUGGAAAGGCGCGCGAUACAGGGUGACAGCCCCGUACACAAAAGCGCAUGUGCUGUGAGCUCGAUGAGUAGGGCGGGACACGUGGUAUCCUGUCUGAAUAUGGGGGGACCAUCCUCCAAGGCUAAAUACUCCUGACUGACCGAUAGUGAACCAGUACCGUGAGGGAAAGGCGAAAAGAACCCCGGCGAGGGGAGUGAAAAAGAACCUGAAACCGUGUACGUACAAGCAGUGGGAGCACAGGUUUACCUGUGUGACUG
rnacentral:rRNA from 1 species